UUCCCAGUCACUGCAGCUAUCAGACGGUCCAAUCUGGGCUCUGAGAGUCAGGUGGACUGGGCCUGACUCUGGUCUUCACGUGUUGCUAGCUGGACAAGUUCUGGAAACAUUUCUAUACUUUUAAAGCCUUGUUCUCCCUCCCCCCUCCUCCCCCCCCCCCCCCCCCCCCCCCCUCUCUCCCAUCUUUCCUGGGUUGUUGUGUUUGCAAACUCUAAGGCUGAUUGCCAUAGUUAUACACACUCAGUUCUUGACGACUCGCUGUGGUUUGAGUUCUGGGGAGAGGUGAGCACAGCUUCAAGGGGAAUCAGGCCUAAAUACCUGGCCAUUAGCAUUAAGGCCAAGGGGCCAAGGAAGAGCUGCAGGGUCGCAAGCACACUCAUCAAGCUUAGGAAGUACUUGCUUCUCCUUACAGGGCAUCUGUCCACUCAGCCCUGUGGAGUACAGAGAGGAAGUUAACCACACAAAGACGGCUCUCCCAGGACCUGGCUGCCCAUCCUGUGCGUGGAGGUUGUUCCAUUAAGAUCAUCAGCAGUGAUACACCAAUGGGAAUCUGUGUCUUUCGUGCAGACCCCUGGGCUCAGCAUGCCUGCCUUGUGGAUACUCAUUUCUCGUGUUCAGGGACUUGGAGGCUGUUUCUGAGAUCACUCCGCUGGAGGAGGGACCCUGAGGAUACAAGAGGAGAGAGACCAGGAAUGCUUCUACUUCAGGGAGUUUCAGCGUGUCUUCACUUGUACCAUUCACUUUAGGAUAAAACUUGUCAAGCACCAGUGAACUAAUGAUAUCAUGUAGUGAGCCAAAGAGCAAAAAUAAACAGCUCACACGAAGGACUCCAAGGAACAUCAGGAAGCAGCUGUCAGGGUGAUGAGAUGAGCCCACCCAUCCAGCUGGGAACCGCCAGGAAGUGCUGCUUCCUAGGAUGUGGUCUCCAACCCAAGGGGACCCAGGUCGAGAAAGCUCCAGACUGCAGAGUGCCAUCCCAGAUGGGAGAGGCAAGGAAAGACAUUUUAGAAGAACUGAGAUGCAGGGCAUGCUAUGGAGAAGAGGAUGUCAAGCAAAUGGUUUUCUUGGACAGUCAUUUCAAGGGCUUUCUGGUUGGCUUCUGUGUCCCUGAUAGUGUUGCGACCCAUCAGUCUGUCCCCCAAUGUCAAGCUGAUUGGCUGUUUCUUUGUGAUGAACCCACAGCUCCUCAGCCUUCUGUGCCCUCCUCUUGCCCAGUUUUCUUAGACUUUUACUAUGAUCUUGAAGGCCCUUUACCUCUUCUUGAUUUUUACUUUUCCUUCUCUCACUGGCUUCUGUGGCACUCUCUCCCCAAGCAGCUCUUGCAGAUUCCAUCACACUCAGGCUGAAAAGCCUUCACCAGUCACAGGACCGGUCAUCCACACAAAUCAAUGAUAUCCAAUAACAUUUACUUAGGUAAAUUCUUGUGGCCCACUACUCUUGCAACACGCAUGGCGUGCUCAUGUGAACACCUGGCCCCCGGGGUGGUGCUGUUACUCGAGGUUGAGGUUGUGCAAUCUUCUGGAGGGAUGGCUUACCUUAGAGUUGAGUCACUGAGUCGCUGGGUGAGCCACUGCGGGUUUUCACUUGGUCCUGCUUCCUGUCCCUCUGUGCUGUUUGGUUCACUAACAUGUAAGAUGCUGCCUCCUGUCACCACAGUCCAAACCUUUCCAGUCACCACACAUUCCCAGCCACGAUGGAUUGCACUUUCUAAAUCUAAGCCCAAUUGAACUUCUGCCCUGUUACUGGAAUUGUUAGGGUCAGGGUCUGGGCCCUGGCAGCCCUGACAAGCUAGGGUUGGCCCCUCAGUCUCAAUGGGACAAUUAGACAAGCCACAGCAGAAAGGAGAGGAAGAUUUAUUCAGUAUGGCCGCCUUGGGAAGAGGAACAAAUCAGCCCCAGUGACUCACACCCCAGUCUAUCUUUUUGGUACCGACAUGAGGUUUAGGUUUAAACAGAGGGCAAGAGGUGUGCAUAGCUACCCAGGCCCAGUCAAGGGGUCUUGCCCAUCACUAAGGAAUCAUCGGCUCAGCUCCUACAAGGUGGCCUAGCAAACUGUCAGUCUGUGAGAAAUCUCUUCUUGGGAGACAUCUCCCCCUCUAGCUGGCACCUCAUUCACGCCUCAGUCCUUUCUCAUCUCCCAGGAAGAGAUUCCUGGGGGAAAUUCCAGUUCCUUGGCAUCCGCUGUCUGAUAGCUAAAGGGAGAGACUAGGUGUCUUUCUUCUUGAUAUCAGAUAAACCCUCUCUGGUUGCUUUCUGUUGGGUAUCUCAUGACAGCCAAAAAAAUAAAUAAAUAAAUAAAUAA